rnacentral:rRNA from 1 species
ACGAACGCUGGCGGCGUGCUUAACCCCUGCAAGUCGAGCGGUAAGGCCUUUCGGGGUACACGAGCGGCGAACGGGUGAGUAACACGUGGGUGAUCUGCCCUGCACUUCGGGAUAAGCCUGGGAAACUGGGUCUAAUACCGGAUAUGACCUCCUAUCGCAUGGUGGGUGGUGGAAAGAUUUAUCGGUGCAGGAUGGGCCCGCGGCCUAUCAGCUUGUUGGUGGGGUAAUGGCCUACCAAGGCGACGACGGGUAGCCGACCUGAGAGGGUGACCGGCCACACUGGGACUGAGACACGGCCCAGACUCCUACGGGAGGCAGCAGUGGGGAAUAUUGCACAAUGGGCGAAAGCCUGAUGCAGCGACGCCGCGUGAGGGAUGACGGCCUUCGGGUUGUAAACCUCUUUCAGCAGGGACGAAGCGCAAGUGACGGUACCUGCAGAAGAAGCACCGGCUAACUACGUG